UGUGAUAGAUGAGAUGCAAUGAGGAGGCUGGGAAGCUGAUGGAAGUGGUUUACAUGGUGAAAUCAAUGCAGUUGUGGAAAUCUAUUGUUGAGUUUAGCCACAGAAACAGAAAUCGCUAAUAUUGAUAACUUGGAUAUUUCUUGUAGACAGGGUAAGAAAAACAGCAAGUUCACCAUGACGUUAACUGACCAGAACAUUGAAAGAUAUAAAAGAGAAAGAUGUAAAGGCAACAGAAUUCAGGAUGUUACAAGCUGUUUUUCAGAGGAAAUCCAGGUGUACAGAAAUGGUCUGGAUAUUUGCGGACCUGGGACCACGAGACACCACAGAGCUCACAGAGCAGUCCAGAAACAGCCAAAGAGGCAGGAAGAUGCAGCAGUGGAGAGAAUACCGCCUUACAAAAUGCAAGUUCCUCUCAGUGCAGAAUACAGAGCAGAGAGCAAACGAAGUUUGUUUAGGGUUUGAUUUUUUUUUUUCUCCUUUUUUUUGAGACACCAUUUAUACAUUUGUUACCAUCUCUAUGUGAAGGUUUUUGAGAACCAGGUGUUCACAGAUUUCCCAGCUCUUCUAUUCUCGCUGUUAAUCAGUUGUACUGUAUGGCCUGGGCACUUUGAACUCUCAGCAAAUAUGAUUUUGAGAGCAUUUUGGAAGAUUUUAUAACAAGGAAGUUAAACAAGUGAAUAAAAAAGGGGAAGAUGCAGCCUGCAGUGGAAGUAAUUGUUAUUACUAAAGGAGUAUGUGAAGUUAUUAACUUGUUAUUAACAUACGUCCACUGAGUCCACCACUUAACGUGGGCUUUAAUAGCAAAUACUGUAAUAAACAAAGGCACAGCUGGCUGCUUUAGGAACGAGCAGUGGAAAAGGAGUUAUAGGCACACCUGUCAAAUGUCUAAAUUCACCUGUGGUCAUGAGCUUCUCCUUUGAUAGUAAAGGCAGAUCAGCUGCUGACUUAGAUGCUGCGAUUGCCUCUCCCGAUACAAACUGUCUCAGAAUUCCGGUUCUCAAUACAGCCUCGGUGAGGAAGGUGAAGGGAAAGGUGGCUUUCCUUUCUCAGUGUUGUAUGCGUAAUACCAUAUUGAUCUGCACAUUUCGUGUUAGUGUUUUCAGUCAACAGAAUAUUACAUCUUAGAUCUCAACGAUUAUUCCAUCCUGACUUAACGAGACUGGUAUUUCUAAAUAGCCAGUAUCACAUCCUUAUAGACUAUUCUCCUGUGGCAUGAUGUAAUCUUGGGUAGUUUGAUCCAAACCUGUUGAAGGCACUGGGAAGGAUCAGUUGAUUUCAGUGGGUUUUAGAGGAUCAGAAACAGAUAUAAGAUUUGGACCAGACCGUUAGUGUAACAGAAUGUUACUGCUUGCAGCAGCAGAGUGUUUUCCCCACUAUGCUAAAUCUCCUUAAGAUAUUUAAAGAAAUUUGUAUAAGAGGUCCAGUUUUCCUUUCCCCUCCCAAAACACUGAAAACAUUUCAGUUGCCUAUGCUAAUAGUUUACAGUAUUGUGUUUCAGAAAUGCAGGCAUCAUGAGCUGCAUACAGGCACAGAAUGUUAUGAAACUGAUGCAUUUUAAGUUGUCGAAGCAGCUUUUGUUCACGGAGUUAUGUGUAAAGUUUCAUCCCACAGGGAAGGUGUGUGUGAGGUUUUUUUGUUUUGAUUUUUUUUUUUUGGUUGGUUAUUUUUUUCAAGCAGAGUUAUUAGGCCCUGAAAAAUGGACUUGCUGAUAUAAUCUGAAAUAGUAUUUCCUGAAGGGCCAUGUUAGGAGUCUAAUGAGCCCCAUUGUGAGAGUCAUUUGUCAUUUUAUCCCUACAGGCAAAUUUGUAAAGGUUAGUGAAGGCUAUUUGUCAAAAUUAAAUGCUGCUUAAAAUUUUGUUUCCAAAAUAAAGUAGUUUGUAAAUAGUACUAGUUGUCCUUUUCGGAUUAUUUUAUUAAAAAUAAUUUUGAAUGGGACAUAGGGGGAAAAGAGUGUCUAAAGUGAGAUUGUUUCUAUACUUGCUUAAGUAUGAAGGGCUAAUUUUCUAUAUAAAUAGUUUCCACGUAGCUUGAUAGUCAGUCACUCCAAUUUAUAAAACAAAUACUGAAACAAAAAAGAGAAUGCUAGUUUUCCUAAACUUUGUAAUCAGCAAACUCUCCCCCAAAGAUGGAUCAAAUCCUCUUUUUUAAUUUAUUCAGUAUAAAUGAAUUAAAUUGAAACCUGAUUAGCUCACAGUUGGGAGAAUCUCUCUAUAAUGAUUUGGAACACUUACUAGAGGUUAACCCCAAAUCCCAUGCCCUGUAUUCUUCUGUAUUUUCUAGUGGCAUUGUUUGUUCAUGGUAAGAGCCUUUCUUUUGGAGGUUGCUGAAAUACUUAUGUGCCUUUCCCCUAUGUUUUAAAAAGCUUAUAUGUUAAUAUUGUACUCAACAAUUCUCCAGUAAGCAUUGUCUGAGAAGCAGUUAGUGAGUCAAUAUUUAUGAAGUUGAGUGUAUGAGUGACACAAAAGUAUUAUAUUCCUCUAAGCAGUAGAGGAAUUACCAUGAUUGUAAAGUAGUAAUUCCAUUAGCUUGAUGUCAAAGCUAUGCCUGCUUCUUUUCUGCUAAAGACAAAAGCCCUUGUGAAAGUGCUUGCUCAUUAUCGAGAAACAAUAGGAUACUACUAUGCAGUUGAGUAUGAAAAGUUUUAGUCUUACAUCAACAAUAUGUUAAUGAUAAGCAUAACAGCAGCUUGUUGACAUACUGAAUUCUUUAGGAUAAUUAUUAUGUCAAAUGUUUUUAGAACUUUUACAGACAAGUCUCUUUUUUAAGUCCAGAUCGUAGCCAAAAGGUGGCAGUAUUCUAUUCAAUAUUCAUUUGCAAAAGAGUAUAAAAAUGCAUGUAUUUAUUGACACUUUGCUUCUAAUAUCAGAUCAAACUGGAUGAUUGUAUCCUGAAAAUGAUGUAGGUUUAUGAAAAAGACUUAUUUAGGAUGAAAUUAGAAAUGAAGUUUCUUUAUUCUACCUGAAAGCUUGCAAAAAGUAAUCUGUUACAUAAAUUUUAAAUAUUAGAUGGGUAGCAUAUCAAAUGAUAUCUGCAUGGUCACUAGAUAAUAACUUUAGGAUUUUUGUGUUUUUAGGGAGUGCUUAAGAGCAUCAGAACACUUUCUCUAGGUGUUGGCAGAGUUAACUCAUUGUACCUUCAGAAAGAAAUUAAUCUCCUUAUGUUUUUAAUAUGAGCCAAAACUGCUGCGUUAAAAGCAAUUUGUUUUAUACACCCUAGAGAUGUUUUAUUUUUAAUGAAGUAUGGUCUUUUUUGUGCUGACACAACAAUAAGUUGAAGAAUUGUUGAAAUACUGUUUUUCGUGCUUGCCACAUUUUUUAGCUAUACACCAAUGGUUUCUCUCAGAAUACUUUGAGAUAAAAGUUUAAGUGUUAGUGGGAGAGAAUGCUUGCAAGUGCCAUUAUGUUCAAGCAAAUGUUUAUGUAAAUUUUGAUGCAUAGUUAUGUCAGAUGUAAAUAUGAAAUUAUUGUAGUUACAGAAUGUUUAAGUUCAAUGCAGUAAAUUAUUAUUUUAUAUUGAUAUUAAAUACUUUAAAAAUCA